rnacentral:tRNA from 1 species
AGCACCAUAGCGCAGAGGAAGCGCGCGGGGCUCUCAACCCCGAGGUCCGAGGAUUGGAACCUCGUGGUGCUA